rnacentral:rRNA from 1 species
CAAUCGAACCCGGAGAUAGCUGGUUCUCCCCGAAAUAGCUUUAGGGCUAGCGUCGAGAGAAGAGUUGCGUGAAGGUAGAGCACUGAAUAUGUGAUGGCCCCAUCUCGGGGUACUGAGCAUAAUCAAACUGCGAAUGUCACGCCAACAUGCUCGGCAGUCAGACAGCGGGUGAUAAGGUCCGUUGUCAAGAGGGAAACAGCCCAGACCAUCAGCUAAGGUCCCAAAAUGUAUGCUAAGUGGAAAAGGAUGUGGAGAUGUACAGACAACUAGGAGGUUGGCUCAGAAGCAGCCAUCCUUUAAAGAGUGCGUAACAGCUCACUAGUCGAAUGACUCUGCGCCGAUAAUUUACCGGGGCUAAGCAUACUACCGAAGCUAUGGAUCCCAAGGGAUGGUAGGGGAGCGUUCCAUGAACGGAGAAGUACGACCGAAAGGACGUGUGGAGAUCAUGGAAGAGAGAAUGCCGGUGUGAGUAGCGGAACGUGGGUGAGAAUCCCACGCACCGAAAACCCAAGGUUUCCAGAGGAAGGUUCGUCCGCUCUGGGUAAGUCGGGACCUAAGGCGAGGCCGAAAGGCGUAGUCGAUGGACAACAGGUAGAGAUUCCUGUACCCGUAUAUAUGUGAAGGAAUGACGGAGAGAGGAAGCUGCAGCCAGCGGCUGGAAGAGCUGGUGCAAGCGAGAUAUCGGGAUGGCAGGCAAAUCCACCAUCCGAAACGAGAAGGCGUGAAGCGUACGGAAAGCUACGGCGAGUACGGAAGGCAGUGGAGGAACUUCCAAGAAAAGUUUCUAACGUUAAGUAUAUAUGGCCCGUACCGAAAAUGGACACACAUGGGUGAGGAGAGAAUCCUAAGGUGAGCGAGAGAACUAUAGCUAAGGAACUCUGCAAAAUGACUCCGUAACUUAGGGAGAAGGAGUGCUCAUAGAGAUAUGAGCCGCAGUGAAACGGCCCAAGCGACUGUUUACCAAAAACACAGCUCUCUGCUAAGCCGCAAGGCGAAGUAUAGGGGGUGACGCCUGCCCGGUGCUGGAAGGUUAAGGGGAGGGGUUAACGCAAGUGAAGCCCUGAACUGAAGCCCCAGUAAACGGCGGCCGUAACUAUAACGGUCCUAAGGUAGCGAAAUUCCUUGUCAGGUAAGUUCUGACCCGCACGAAAGGCGUAACGAUUUGGGCGCUGUCUCAGCUGUAGACUCGGUGAAGUCUUAGUACCUGUGAAGAUGCAGGUUACCCGCGACUAGACGGAAAGACCCCAUGGAGCUUCACUGCAGGUUGAUAUUGGGAUUUGAUGCAGCAUGUACAGGAUAGGUAGGAGGCAAAGAGAUGGAUACGCCAGUAUUCAAGGAGCCGCUGUUGGGAUACUACCCCUGUUGUAUUGGAUUUCUAACCGGACGACGUAGAGCCGUUGACGGGACAGUGUCAGUCGGGCAGUUUGACUGGGGCGGUCGCCUCCCAAAGAGUAACGGAGGCGCCCAAAGAUACCCUCAGCUUGGAUGGAAACCAAGCGCAGAGUGCAAAGGCAAAAGGGUGUUUGACUGCGAGACCCACAAGUCGAGCAGGGACGAAAGUCGGGCUUAGUGAUCCGGCGGUGCUGAAUGGAAAGGCCGUCGCUCAACGGAUAAAAGCUACCCUGGGGAUAACAGGCUGAUCUCCCCCAAGAGUCCACAUCGACGGGGAGGUUUGGCACCUCGAUGUCGGCUCAUCGCAUCCUGGAGCUGAAGUCGGUUCCAAGGGUUGGGCUGUUCGCCCAUUAAAGCGGUACGCGAGCUGGGUUCAGAACGUCGUGAGACAGUUCGGUCCCUAUCUGUCGUGGGCGCAGGAAAUUUGAGAAGAGCUGUCCUCAGUACGAGAGGACCGGGAUGGACGCAUCAAUGGUGGACCAGUUGUCACGCCAGUGGCAUAGCUGGGUAGCUAAAUGCGGAAGGGAUAAACGCUGAAGGCAUCUAAGUGUGAAACCCACUUCAAGAUGAGAUUUCCCAUUGCGCAAGCAAGUAAGACCCCUUAAAGACGAUAAGGUAGAUAGGUCAGGAGUGUAAGCAUGGUGACAUGUUAAGCGGACUGAUACUAAUAGGUCGAGGGCUUGACCGA